rnacentral:rRNA from 1 species
GCGUUAUCCGGAUUCAUUGGGCGUAAAGCGCGCGUAGGCGGUCUGUUAGGUCAGGAGUUAAAUCUGGGGGCUCAACCCCUAUCCGCUCCUGAUACCGGCAGGCUUGAGUCUGGUAGGGGAAGAUGGAAUUCCAAGUGUAGCGGUGAAAUGCGCAGAUAUUUGGAAGAACACCGGUGGCGAAGGCGGUCUUCUGGGCCAUGACUGACGCUGAGGCGCGAAAGCUAGG